rnacentral:pre_miRNA from 1 species
AGCCUUCUGUAUCCGUACUGAGAUUUUGUCACACCUGACCACAAGAGCUGAUGAGACUCCCGAGAUAAUUGAGGUG